GACAUUUUUUCCGCUACUAAAAAGAAAACCAAACUGAAGAAGCGGUUUCUUUCAAUCCCUUUCUUUAGGAUCCUUGGUGGGGAGAACCUGCUUUACACCUGGGCUCCACACCUCAAGGAAGAGAGACACAGGUACACGGUUGGAAGAGCUGUCCCGUGAGAAGCUGAGGCGAGGGGAAGCCAGAGGUAGAAUUGGGAAGGACUUGAAUGAGUGGAUUAUGAAGGAUGGAAAAUUCUGUCCAUGCGUCAUGAAGAGCCCAUUUAGGAAGUUUCCUAAAACAGAGAUAAACCAGGAAGCAGAUCUUGCUGCCGGAUCUUGGUGUGCAACUUCGUUUCUGUAGAGCCCAGGGUUGAAAAUUAACUUCAGGGCCAAACACCGCAGUCCAGAGAGUGGUGGUGUAGCCGGAGGCUUUUUUCUUCAGAUGACAGAACUGAUGGGGCAGGAUGGUGAGUCACCCCAUGUGAGCUUCUGCGAAGCAGAGCCUGGUGGGGGUUCGUCUGGGAGGCACAAGAAGAGUAAAGUGGAAGAAACACAGAAAGCACCGUCCUUCUGGUGAUUUCCUUCCUUCAAGUCAGCUAAGACAUGGGUUCCCUGAGGAGAUCUUUCAAUUGGUUAACAAUAUACUAUGCUCUUCCUUUGAAUUUUCAUAGGAAAUACAAAAAUUUGCUGAUGAUAAUAGCCAAAAAUUAGUAGCAAUUUCUUCUGGGUUAGAUUGUGUCUCCCCAAAAGAUCUGUUGGGAUCCUAAUCUUCAGUGCCUCAGAAUGUGAUCUUUUUCAGAAAUAGGGUUGUUGCUGAUGUCAUUAGUUAAAUUAAGGUGAGGUUCAACUGGAGUAGGGUGGGCUCUUAAUCCAACACGACUUAAUCCAACAUGACAACAAGUCCUUAUGUGAAGAGGGAAUUUGGACAUAAAGGGGGGUACGGUGGGGAGAUGGCCCUGUGAAGACAGAGGCACACAAGGAGAAUGCCAGGUGAAGGUGGAGACAGAGAUUGGGGUGAUGUAUGUAUGAGCCAAGGAAUGCCAAGAAUGACUGGCCCUCACUGGAAGCAAGGACAGAAGCAUGGAACAGAUUCCUCUCAGAGCCCUCAGAAGGAAACAACCCAGCUGAUACCUUGACCUCAGACAGAGGAUGGUGGAACAAUAAAUUUUUUCUGUUCUAAGUCACCCAGUGUUUGUAUCGCAGCUGUAUAACACUAAUACUGUCCCUUCCUGUUCCUCUGUCUCAUUCUCUCCCACCGUUUCCCCUCAUGCUCUAUUAUCCAUUAAGUCCCGGGCCCCUCGGUG